rnacentral:rRNA from 1 species
GUGUCAGCAGCCGCGGUAAUACGUAGGGAGCAAGCGUUGUCCGGAAUCAUUGGGCGUAAAGCGCGCGUAGGCGGCCCUGUAAGUCCGUUGUGAAAGUCAAAGGCUCAACCUUUGAAAGCCGAUGGAUACUGCAGGGCUAGAGUCCGGAAGAGGCGAGUGGAAUUCCUGGUGUAGCGGUGGAAUGCGCAGAUAUCAGGAGGAACACCAAUAGCGAAGGCAGCUCGCUGGGACGGUACUGACGCUAAGGCGCGAAAGCGUGGGGAGCGAACAGGAUUAGAAACCCCCGUAGUCC